GCAUAUCAAUAAGCGGAGGAAAAGAAACCAACAGGGAUUCCCCUAGUAACGGCGAGUGAAGCGGGAACAGCUCAAAUUUGAAAUCUGGCCCUCGGGUCCGAGUUGUAAUUUGUAGAGGAUGCUUUUGGUGCGGUGCCUUCCGAGUUCCCUGGAACGGGACGCCUUAGAGGGUGAGAGCCCCGUACGGUUGGACGCCUAGCCUCUGUAAAGCUCCUUCGACGAGUCGAGUAGUUUGGGAAUGCUGCUCUAAAUGGGAGGUAUAUUUCUUCUAAAGCUAAAUACUGGCCAGAGACCGAUAGCGCACAAGUAGAGUGAUCGAAAGAUGAAAAGCACUUUGAAAAGAGGGUUAAAUAGCACGUGAAAUUGUUGAAAGGGAAGCGUUUAUCACCAGACUUUUUCUGGGGGGAUCAUCCGGUGUUCUCACCGGUGCACUUCCCCCAGUUGAGGCCAGCAUCGGUUUUCGGAGGGGGAUAAAAGCUUCGGGAAUGUGACUCCCUCGGGAGUGUUAUAGCCCGUUGCAUAAUACCCUUCUGGGGACCGAGGUUCGCGCAUCUGCAAGGAUGCUGGCAUAAUGGUGAUCAACGACCCGUCUUGAAACACGGACCAAGGAGUCGAACAUUUAUGCGAGUGUUUGGGUGUCAAACCCUCACGCGUAAUGAAAGUGAACGGAGGUGAGAGCCCUUACGGGUGCAUCAUCGACCGAUCCUGAUGUCUUCGGAUGGAUUUGAGUAAGAGCAUAACUGUUCGGACCCGAAAGAUGGUGAACUAUGCGUGGAUAGGGUGAAGCCAGGAGAAAUCCUGGUGGAGGCUCGCAGCGGUUCUGACGUGCAAAUCGAUCGUCAAAUCUGCGCAUGGGGGCGAAAGACUAAUCGAACCAUCUAGUAGCUGGUUACCGCCGAAG
rnacentral:rRNA from 1 species